UGGGGAAUUUUGGACAAUGGGCGAAAGCCUGAUCCAGCAAUGCCGCGUGUGUGAAGAAGGCCUUCGGGUUGUAAAGCACUUUUGUCCGGAAAGAAAUGGCUCUGGUUAAUACCUGGGGUCGAUGACGGUACCGGAAGAAUAAGGACCGGCUAACUACGUGCCAGCAGCCGCGGUAAUACGUAGGGUCCAAGCGUUAAUCGGAAUUACUGGGCGUAAAGCGUGCGCAGGCGGUUGUGCAAGACCGAUGUGAAAUCCCCGAGCUUAACUUGGGAAUUGCAUUGGUGACUGCACGGCUAGAGUGUGUCAGAGGGGGGUAGAAUUCCACGUGUAGCAGUGAAAUGCGUAGAGAUGUGGAGGAAUACCGAUGGCGAAGGCAGCCCCUGGGAUAACACUGACGCUCAUGCACGAAAGCGUGGGGAGCAAACAGGAUUAGAUACCCUGGUAGUCCACGCCCUAAACGAUGUCAACUAGUUGUUGGGGAUUCAUUUCCUUAGUAACGUAGCUAACGCGUGAAGUUGACCGCCUGGGGAGUACGGUCGCAAGAUUAAAAGCUC
rnacentral:rRNA from 1 species